GUGCUCACUUUGGCAGCACAUAUACUGCAAUUAGAACGAUACAGAGAAGAUUAGCCUGGCCCCUGUGCAGUGAUGACACGCAAACUCAUAAAGCGUUCCAUUUUUUA